AGGAUAAGCUGAAUGUCUUCAAUGACGUUAAACUGACCUGUGAUCAAACAGCAGAGCACGUUAAUGCUCAGCACACAGAGAGGCAGAUCAAGGAGGAAGAGGUCAGGAUAGUUGCACUAAGGGAGGAAGAGAAGCAGAAGAGUCAGAAGAUGAACGAGAAGAUUGAGGAGAUGAGCAGAGAGAGAUCAUCACUUUCAGACACAAUCAGAACCAUAGAAGAGGAUAAAAAUGUAUUUUGUUUCUCUGCAUCUUGGAAAGAACCUAGUGCACACUGCCGGACCGUGAGAGGGUUUCAGGAGGACUGAUUGAUGUGGCAAAGCACAUGAGAACCCUGCACUAUAGGGUCUGGGAGAAGAUGCAGGCAAGAAUUCAAUACAGUGAAUAUAAGAUACAAUUGGGGUAAAACUUUACCGCCAUUAAAAGGUUCCAACACAGAAAACAAGAAAUAUGCUUAGUGAAUGAAAUUUACUUAUUAAUAAGAUUAUGUCCCUACCUCAAUUUUUAUUUAAUCAUGGUAUGUGUGUGUUGUCAGUUCCAGUGACUCUUGACCCCAACACUGCAAACUCACAUCUCUCUUGUCUGAUGAUCUAACCACAGUGAUAUACUGCAACUUCCUGACAACCCAGAGAGAUUUGAUGACUAUACAAUGGCCCUGGCCUCUGAGGGCUUUAACUCAGGAACACACGAUGAGGUUGAGGACAGUACAGGACGGAUCGUGGGUGUGAUCACAGAGUCUUGCCGGACGAAGGGAGACUUCGGCAUGUGUAGAGGAUCCUGGAGUGUGUGGUUUGUAAAGGAUAGGUAUUUAACAUAUGUUCUAAUGGUGCCACGUGUUCACAGACUCGAUCGCCUAACCGUGAGACAGAAACCCAAGAGGGUCAGAGUGCAGCUGGACUGGUACAGAGGAAAGCUGUCAUUCUCUGACCCAGAUAAUAACACACAUAUAUACAAAUUCACAAACACUUUCACUGAGAGAGUCUUUCCAUACAUCAGGAAUCACUGCAUUUUCCAUCCUCUGAAGGUGUUUUCAGUCCCUGUAACAAUGGAUACAGCCUCCGUCUGAAUUAGGGAUUAGCAUGUUGAAUGAGUCAGUAACACUCACCGAUGCCCUUCACCUGCUGUAACACUCUCAUCAGUCAAACAAUGAUAACUCAUCAUUGUGUCCACCUUGUCUACAAACAGCAGGUAUACACAUCUGACUGACAUUACAGUAGUGCAGAAAUGGAGCUGCUUGAUUGGAAACUUUUCCCUUCAGACUAUUUAGUGAAAAAGGUCACCUAUAAAAUAAUCAUUCACAGGAGGUUGUGGGUGUUCAUUUAAAGAAAGUGUAUUUGCCAUUGUGAACAUAGGUAACUUGCUGAUAAAAAGUUGUAUAUUCUUUAAAAAGUCUAAGUUGGGAUAGGCUACACAGAUGCCACCUUAUUUUCAAAUCAUACAGUUCAAACCUUCCAAUGAUAAUUAUCGUGUGUCUUAAUUAAGACUUCAAUUCAAUUCAUGAAGUUAAAAAGACUCCAUGGGCUGUCCUUGUCAAGACCGCUCCUCAGCCCCCCUAACACAGAGGAACGUGGUAGUUGAGCUUGCAUUACACUAGAUGGGGCCAGUGUAUCAAAGUGUAUCAAACAGACGCUAGAGGGCUUCAUAGCCUUUCCAUGCAAACAAAGAAACACAGAAUCAGCUGUAUAAAAAAUUCUCAAAUCCUAUGCUGGAGGCUCUGUCCUGUCCUGAAAAGCUAACAAGAGCUGCUAGUAGGCUACAAGGUCUGGGUUGAAUUACCCUUCGAUUUAGUCAAUCUAGGAUAAAAUGCCAUUAAAAUAAAGAAUAUAUGCAGAUUGUUCAAAUAAAUUACUGACUUAAUUAUUUUCCAAUGGACUUGAUGUCAGCCAUGAAUGAGAAAUGCUAAACAUGUCAAUAUAAACACUUAGUGCUAAAAUAAGACAAGCCAGAUUCAUGUCUUUCCUAGCAUGCACGUAGACGCUUAACAGUUUGAUAAGGAAUAGUGGGUGUAUGCUUUGAUGCUGGAUUCCCCUCCUCUCAUUGGUUUGAAACCAAAGCAGCCAAUGAGACUGUUCAGUUAGAUGUCCUCCUCAUGCAGAUACCAACCGCUGCAGUGGAGAGGAAGAGGAACUAAAGGUUUCUAAAUAAUACAGUAGUCCGUGAUGAUGGCAUAUAGGAAGAUUCCUACUACAUCAAGGAAAUCUCUUUCUUAUGCUCCCUCUCUUUCUCUCUCCCUCACUCUCUCUCAAUCAUCAUGAAUCAAGUCGACAAUCUACUGUCAAGUUAUUUUUAAUCCUUGUCAUAUGAAGAGAAAUAAUGAAGAGAAAUUAUAGAUAAAACGUAUCAUAAUUCACAAAUUCAACAAUGAGUGGUUUGGAAGGAAUCAGUGACAGUGGCUAACUGCAAUCAUUGCAAUCACUAGCCUGCUAUUCAGGGGAGUGGCUGUCUGGUCCCAAGUCUGGGAUUAAGGAGCUCUUUUCCAAGUUUAAAAUGAUAAACAUUCAACAUUGAACAUGCUGUCAAUGAAGCAUGAUUUGUGCCAUGCUCAAAACAACUGUUAACUCGGAACUGCGAAAACUUGACUUCAGUGAGUUCAAGACAACUGGGAAUUCAUGAAUAAAUGAGCCCCGACUGGGAAAACACCUUUUGAAUGGUCAUCCAACUCGGAAUUGUAAAUCUGGCCUCUUAGAGCUAUGACCUUAAGAUCAAAGACAUCAUAAUGAUUCAACCUUGUUCCUUUCUGAGUUCCCAGUUGUUUUGAAAGCACCAUAAAUUCAGAGAAUGCCAGACUUUGAUGACAAAAUGUGUACAAGGACCGCCGCGCCACCUUCCUGUUGAAGUGAGCACAGCACAACAAGGUGAGUCUAAAUAUGUAUUGUAUGCUGCUGUAUAAAUUAUGUAAUAUGCCAGGGAGAUAUGUAUACUGUAGCUAAGAAAGUAAUACUAAGUGUAUGUUGUGUAGUAAGCUGUUAGUAGCCCAUGUGCCUCACUCUAAUCAUUUAGUCUAUUUACCUCUCUUAAUUUUGCCUACUGCUCUGACUUGGUGGUGCACAUG